rfam:Ciona savignyi cont_27603, whole genome shotgun sequence.
GGUAGCUUGGCCGAGCGGUCUAAGGCGCUGGUUUAAGGCACCAGUCAUUUCUAUGGCGUGGGUUCGAAUCACACUGCUGCCA